rnacentral:rRNA from 1 species
AGAGAGAGACAUGCGUGCAUAUCAAUAAGCGGAGGAAAAGAAACUAACAAGGAUUCCCCUAGUAACGGCGAGUGAAGCGGGAAGAGCUCAAAUUUGAAAUCUUAAAGGGUUUCCCUUUACGAAUUGUAGUUUAAAGAAGUGUUUUCUGUUGAGGUUUUGGUAAAAGUUCUUUGGAAUAGGACAUCAUAGAGGGUGAGAAUCCCGUAUUUGACCUUUACUUUCAACUUUGUGAUACACUUUCAAAGAGUCGGAUUGUUUGGGAAUGCAGUCCAAAAUGGGUGGUAAAUUUCAUCUAAAGCUAAAUAUUGGCGAGAGACCGAUAGCGAACAAGUACCGUGAGGGAAAGAUGAAAAGAACUUUGAAAAGAGAGUUAAACAGUACGUGAAAUUGUCAAAAGGGAAGCGUUUGACACCAGUGUUGUUUUUCUGAAAAUCAAUUAAAGAACUGUUUAUGCUAAGUUGUUUAGACUUUAUCAGCUAACUGUUUAGUUUUGAGCUUUUCUUUAAUGCACUUUUCAGUUAACAAGUCAACAUCAAUUUCUUUUGCUGUAAAAAAGCUUGAGGAAGGUGGCUUGAGAUUCGUCUUAAGUGUUUAUAGCCUCUUAGCCUAUGCAGUCGGAGAGAUUGAGGUCUGCAGCGUAGAUCCUUCGGGGCUAAAUGCAUUUGUGCUAAGUUAUAGCAUUUUAUAGACAACUUGUUGACUAUGAUUUGUCUUGUAGCUUACUCGCUUAUGUUAUUUUACCUACGCUUAGGAUGUUGACGCAUGAGAUAUACGC